GGAUGAGUGGCAGAGUGGUCGAAUGCGGCCAGCUUGAAACUGGAAACAUCUCUGAAGUUUUGGUAGUUCGAAUCCUACCUCAUCCG